UACGGAGGGUGCGAGCGUUGUCCGGAAUCACUGGGCGUAAAGGGCGCGUAGGCGGCCUGAUAAGUAGGGGGGUGAAAUCCUGCGGCUUAACCGCAGGGCUGCCUUCUAAACUGUCAGGCUAGAGCACGGUAGAGGCAGAUGGAAUUCCCGGUGUAGCGGUGGAAUGCGUAGAUAUCCGGAGGAACACCAGCGGCGAAGGCGGCUUUCUGGUCCGAUACUGACGCUGAGGUGCGAAAGCGUGGGGAGCGAUCCGG
rnacentral:rRNA from 1 species